GACGUGCCUGCUGCACGCCUUCGUCAACGGCACCUGUCCGGACGAGGCCGAGUACAUCCCGACCGUCUUCGACAACUCAUCGCUGGACUGGAGCGUCGGAGAGACGCCGGUGCAGCUCAGCCUGUGGGACACGGCCGGCCAGGAGGAGUACGGCCGACUUCGCCGGCUCAUCUACCCGGCGACAGACAUAUUUGUUCUAUGUUACGCUGUCGACAACGUCAACUCCUUCAAGAACAUCAGCUCCCUGUGGUGGCCAGAGCUUCGUCAUGACUGCCCCAAUACUCCCAUAGUGCUCGUCGG